rnacentral:rRNA from 1 species
AAGGAAUAUUGGACAAUGGGGGCAACCCUGAUCCAGCCAUGCCGCGUGUGUGAUGAAGGCCUUAGGGUUGUAAAGCACUUUCAAUUGUGAAGAUAAUGACGGUAGCAAUAGAAGAAGCUCCGGCUAAAUUCGUGCCAGCAGCCGCGGUAAUACGAAUGGAGCAAGCGUUGUUCGGAAUCACUGGGCUUAAAGCGUGCGCAGGCGGUCUUGCAAGUCAGAAGUGAAAGCCUGGGGCUCAACCCCAGAAUUGCUUUUGAAACUGCAAGACUAGAAUAUUGGAGAGGUCGGGAGAAUUCCUAGUGUAGAGGUGAAAUUCGCAGAUAUUAGGAGGAAUACCAGUGGCGUAGGCGCCCGACUGGACGAUUAUUGACGCUCAGGCACGAAAGCGUGGGGAGCAAAC